rnacentral:snoRNA from 1 species
AAAGCAGGCUGCAAUUGCAGUGCUUCCUUCUGUGGGAGUACUGCCAUUUUCCUGCUAAGAGUGACUCUUGUUAACGCUGUUCUUCGGCUUCACCUACACGGUGGUGAAACCGUUUGUUCUUAACAUGUACAAGC